UUUUUAUUUUUAUUUUUUGGACUGUUAAAUUGUGAUUGUAAUUGUGCGAUUAUUCUAAAAGUGAAACUAAAUUUAUCAAAUUUAAUUCAAUUGACCAAAGAAAUUUUGGAUUAUAACCUAGUUUGAUGAAAGUUAGAAAUAAUUUGUUUUUUAAUGAAAGUCAUUGCAUAAGAAAAAAAAUUAUAUGGAUUGAGAUUUAAAUUUUAAAUCUACUGAAUUUUACUUCUUAUUUAUAGUUAUAUAAAUUAAUUAAAUUAAAUUUUAGAUUAAAAAAUUAAAAAUAAGUGCUUUUUUUUUACAUCUUGAAAGAAUAAGCAUCAAACCUUUAAUCCCGUAAUGGAAUUUUAAUUAUUUCAUGGACCGUGUUUAAGAUAAUUUCCCUUCAUUAAUUAAAUCCCUUCGGUAAGACUUUGGCAAUAUUGUCUCCCAUAAAAGCAAGUAUAAGAUUUCAUAUUUGUGGCUGAUCUGCUUGAGGGGAAUACAACAGAUUUCCUCAUAUGAAUCAAGUACGAGUAACAUAGUGUUUAAGAUUUAUAUAUACUAAACAUGACUCAAACACACAAAAAGAGCAGCAUCUAUAGGCAUUUAGCUGAAAAAUGCUUAGCAUGGCCAUGUGCAUGAACUUGCUAUAUACCUCCACAAUCUGCUGCCCUUUUCCACCACAAAAGGCUUUUUGGAUUAUGAUGCCUUUGCCUUGUCCAUCUGGUCCUCUUAUUCUUUGCCUCUCGUCACCUUUUUACUAUGUUGCCAAAACAAGAUUCCGUUGUUUGCAAUUAUGUUUGUUCUGACUUAUCAUUUUCAUUGAAGACGCCUAUAUCUAAUGGUUAUGUUUAUGAGUGUUCAAAUCAAAAUAUAUUCAAAAUUAAAAAAUAAAUAAAUCGUAUGUACAUAUGUGUUAGAUACAUACUCGUACACGACACUCCACUUUGAGUUCGGAGUCACAGAGGCUUAAAACACGUAAAGUUAACUCAUAAAAAGUGAAACAAGCAACCUCUCUAGCUUAUAUUUCUAGCUUUACCAAAUUGAGAGGCCAAAGAUUGCAGUCCUUAUACACCAAAUGACUUCUAACUUUUUUCUGGGAAAAUCUGGACCUUUUAAUUGGUUUCCAACUUGUUUUCCUGGAAAUUGGAAAAUGUCGAGCAAGCUGUAAUAAGCUAGGUCAGAAAAUCGGAAAAAUUUAUGGAUCGUCCGUUUUAGAGGAUUUGGGAACAUAUAUAUAUUGAUGAAAUUAGGAGUUUUGGACCACAAAUUUGGACAGAAUGCUAAGGAUUCCCAGUGUCAUGCAUAGUUUUAAAUUUUCAACUGUGGAAAUUGAAUUUUUAUUAUGCAAUAUUGCUAGCAAUAGCAAAUCAUAUCCAAAAGAAUUUGAUAUCUAGGUCAAAUAGUUCAUCGACAAUUUUUACGAGAUAAAUUUUUGUAAGAUUGAGAUUUAAUUAUCAAAACUUACAAUUUUUUUAUUUUUAAAUUUCGAUCUCCUUUAAUAUAAAAAAAUAAAAAACCAAACCUAGAAAUUAGAUUAUUGCUAUCCAAGAGAAUAUAGUAGUUGUAAAAUGUACUUACUAAUCUUCUAUUGCCUUUACAUGAUAAAUUUUCCUCUUCAAGUUGGCACAUACUUAAGAUUUUUUAGCAUAUAAGUUCUUAGCUGAUAUAAAUUUUCUAUUAUGAAAAUUUUUUAGAGUAAAAAUUGGUGAAUAAUAUUUAGAAUUUAUUAUUUGCAAAUGCGUUGUUAAUAAAUAAUUGAAAAAGAAAAAGGGAGUGAUCUUAGAGACAUGCUAGUCCCCAUCCACAAUCUGUCAACCCCAACAAUUUCUUUUCCUUUAUCUUAUCCUUGUAUUUAAAACUUUAAUUACAUCUAUUAUUAGAAUUAUCACUUGAAAAUUACAAAUUUUAAAGAAUUUAAGCGUAUAAUAUAUUUUUUAAUCAUAUAUAUAUAUAUAUAUAGCAGGAUAAAAUAAAUUUAAGAGUAUAUUAAAAACUUCAAAAAAUAAAAAAUAAAAAGACUUAUGUCAUGAUUUUUAAAUAUAAUUUAAACUCAUAAUAAUAAGAAGAAGAGAAAUCAACUUAUAUCCAUGUAAAUUUUUUUAAUUUUAUAUUUUUUUAUAAUAAUUAAUUUCAAUAAAUAUCAAAGAUGAGAGAAAUAAAUAAAUAAAUAUUUUAUUUUAUUUUUAGGAUUUAUUAAAAUCAAUAAUUAUAAAAUUAUAAAAUUUUUAAUACAACUUGAUUUUUCUUCAUCUUCUAAUAAAUUGAUGUGAAACAACAUAAAAUCAUCGGACAAUGUGGGGGUUUGAGAAAUCAUAUCCUUCCACCCCACCACUCGACGUCUACCUUUGAUCCAACAAUGAAUUAGGUGCCCUCUUUAAUAAUAAAACAGAAACACAAAAAAAAAAAAAAAAAAACAUAUAUCAUUUAUUUCAUAAUAUAUACAGCACAUGCUUGCUGUUAUUUCCAUUAUUAUAA
rnacentral:lncRNA from 1 species